rnacentral:rRNA from 1 species
GACGAACGCUGGCGGCGUGCCUAACACAUGCAAGUCGAACGGAGAAAUUCAGCAAUGGAUUUCUUAGUGGCGAACGGGUGAGUAACGCGUAGAUAACCUGCCUCUAAGAUGGGGACAACAACUCGAAAGGGUUGCUAAUACCGAAUGUGAACAGUGCCUCGCAUGAGAAGCUGUUUGAAGGUGGCCUCUGAAUAUGCUACCGCUUAGAGAUGGGUCUGCGUCUGAUUAGCUAGUUGGAGGGGUAAUGGCCCACCAAGGCGACGAUCAGUAGCCGGUCUGAGAGGAUGAACGGCCACCCUGGGACUGAGACACGGCCCAGACUCCUACGGGAGGCAGCAGUGGGGAAUCUUCCGCAAUGGACGAAAGUCUGACGGAGCAACGCCGCGUGAGUGAAGAAGGUUUUCGGAUCGUAAAGCUCUGUCUUCAGGGACGAAUGUGCAGAUUGUAAAUAAUGGUUUGCAAUGACGGUACCUGAGGAGGAAGCCACGGCUAACUACGUGCCAGCCGCCGCGGUAAUAC